rnacentral:snRNA from 1 species
AUCGCUUCUCGGCCUUUUGGCUAAGAUCAAGUGUAGUAUCUGUUCUUAUCAGUUUAAUAUCUGAUACGUCCUCUACCCGAGGACAAUAUAUUAAAUGGAUUUUUGGAGCAGGGAGUUGGAAUAGGAGCUUGCUCCGUCCACUCCACGCAUCGACCUGGUAUUGCAGUACCUCCAGGAACGGUGCACCCCCU